rnacentral:rRNA from 1 species
CAGCAGCCGCGGGAAUACGAAGGGUGCAAGCGUUAAUCGGAAUUACUGGGCGUAAAGCGUGCGUAGGCGGUGAUGUAAGACAGUUGUGAAAUCCCCGGGCUCAACCUGGGAACUGCAUCUGUGACUGCAUCGCUGGAGUGCGGCAGAGGGGGAUGGAAUUCCGCGUGUAGCAGUGAAAUGCGUAGAUAUGCGGAGGAACACCGAUGGCGAAGGCAAUCCCCUGGGCCUGCACUGACGCUCAUGCACGAAAGCGUGGGGAGCAAACAGGAUUAGAUACCCCCGUAGUCCCUGUCUCUUAUAC